rnacentral:lncRNA from 1 species
AAGGACUUCAAAGGACAUGCACAGAUUCUUGAAAAGGGCGGUUACACCAUGUUUACACCACAUUAUAUAACAUGGUUUUGUCCUGCGCCUUUCAUUCUGAGCGACCAGUGCAAGUCUCAGUGCAUAAACCAUGGGAGAUAUUGUGCACCUGAUCCAGAAAAGAAUUUUGGGACGGGGUAUCAAGGAAAAGAUGUGGUAUUCGAGAACUUGAGACAGCUUUGUGUACACAGGGUUGCUAACGAGAGCAACAAAUCUUGGGUUUGGUGGGAUUUUGUGACAGAUUUUCACAUUAGGUGCUCAAUGAAGGAAAAGAGGUAUAGCAAAGAAUGUGCUGAGGAUGUCUUGAAGUCCUUAAGUAAGUACUCUUCUAUCAAAUAGUGUGCAUACAAUCACAUUUCUAUAAUUGUUCAGCGAUUUAUCCUUACAAAUUUAUUGGACAACCAGAUCUGCCAAUUGAGAAGAUAAAAGAUUGCAUGGGUGACCCUGAAGCUGAUGUUGAAAAUGAUGUCCUAAAAAUUGAGCAAGAUCGGCAGGUUCACAAACAUCUUAGACCAACUUUUCUGUUUCUCUUUUCAUGAAUAUAGCUAUUUAAAUAAGCAGUGUAUACCUGAUUUAGGGGUUAGUUAUCAAUUAGGUCACUUGCUUUGUUCGAUUAUAUCAAGUGGGUCAUUGACAAAGUUUUGUCUCGUUUGCAUCACUAAUUUAAAAUAAAAUUACAUUCUAUUAAUUUUAAAAAAAAUUAUAAAUGUAAAAAGUUGAUUAUUGAAGUUUUUCUGGAUAAGUAUAUCUCAUCUUUCUUACUACUUCGCUUUUUCUAACCAAACAUGUACUCGUCUUCCUUUUUCAAUUCAAUUCAACCUCUAUUUGUGUACAAUUCUUUGAUCUAAUUUUUGAUUUUCGUAUUAUUUAUGUUCACAUUUCCUUGUGACAAGUUCACGUCAAAUGCCAAUCAUAUUCAUGUCACAUAAUUUAACAAAAAAUGUUUAUUUUGACUUAACUUCGCAAAAAUUUAUCAAGAUAUAAUUUAAUUUGAAAUAAGUGGUGCAAAUGAGACCAAAUAUUUGUUGUGAUCCAUUUGAUACUUUGAAGCGAAGCAAGUGGCCUAAUUGAUAAUUAACCCCUAGAUUUAGCAUUAGCCACUUAAAAUCAUAUUCCUGCAAUUUCAUAGUACCCUGAAUUUAUUAUGCAUGUUGUCUGUGCUAAUAAUAGUACAAUGUUUCUGAUUUAUAUAUAGGUUGGACGAGGAUCUCGUGGCGAUGUUACUAUCUUACCGACAUUAGUCAUUAACGAUGUUCAGUAUAGAGGUAUCUUGUGAUUGCUCUUCUAUUGUAUUUCUCUUAUGUCAGAGUCAAUUACUCUAUCAUGCCAUAAUUUCAAUCUGGAACACUAAAUAUCUCUUUGGACUUCAAUUCGAUCCAUCUCAUCUGCAUCAAAAUCCACAAUAUUCUAACAAUAUGUGACAACAUUAUCUUACACUUGUUGCUAAUGUAUAUAAUAGUAAUAUGAAUAUUCUUGUAAACUUAUAUCAAAAGAAGAAAACGUCUGAUACGUGGUAAUUCAUUAAAUUAUGCAAUAAUUUUUGGACUUCCUGAGAAAGGUCUAAAUAAAGACUUGAUGAACUAUUAAGUUCAAAAGAUAUAAGAAAUCUGUCUGCGAUUUAUACAAAAAACACGAGAUGCCUGGCUGGUUUACUGGAUUGGUCACUCUUAUGAACAAAUUAAGUGGGACAACUCUAUCAUAGUGCAUCGAUUGUAGUGGAUUUUGCAUGUUCUUCUCCUCUCUUUUAUGGUUUUUGGUUCUUUCCGGUUGUGCAUCUUUUUCUUAUUCAUACAAAAAAUAUGCCCCAAUUGGUAAUUCGCCCGAUUAAAUGUGUCCGCUCUUUGGAAAGUGCCUUCGUAUACGUCCUUGGGAUUAGAAGAAAUGUUAUGGUAACUUAUCUUGAUAUGUUAAUUGUAUUUGCCACAGGGAAACUUGAGAGAACUGCUGUGCUGAAGGCCUUAUGUGCUGGAUUUCAGGAGACUACUGAGCCUCCAAUUUGUUUAAGUGGAGGUUAGUUGUUAACUCUUAUAUGUACUCAUUAAAUAUAUGUGCCCAUAUCUCUGCCUAUAAUUAAAUAUGAUAAAUAGAUAUGGAGACCAAUCAGUGCCUUGAGAGGAAUGGUGGUUGCUGGCGAGACUCAAAAUCUAAUAUAACUGCUUGCAAGGUAUGCUAAAACGCGUACCACUUCUUAGAUAUAAUUAAUUUUCAUCAAUAUUAUGUACACGACAACAUGUUCUUCUGAAAAUAUUAUAUGACUCGCAAGUGAUUGUAAUUUGUAGGACACGUUUAGAGGAAGAGUAUGUGAGUGUCCCGUGGCCAAUGGGGUGCAAUAUAAAGGCGAUGGAUACAUGUCUUGUGAAGGUAGAGAUUUCGUUAUAAGCUAGCACAUGAUCUACACUUUCACAAUUUUGAUGCGAAUUGAUGCUUCCUAUUUUAUGAAAAUGAUGCCUGUGUAAAACUUUUGCCAUCUAGAGAAGGAAAGAUCCACACCUGUACUAAGUCUCUCACUGUAGAAUAGAUACACAAGCAUUUCGCACAAGCAACUGUUUUCUUACAUUAGCUAUAGGGAUGCAAAAAUGAAUUCCAGCCAUGAUUCUGUUAAGCACUUAUAUCUUGACUAGUCUGUCUCUUUAAUGGGACUGACGUAUAGAAGGUUUAGCAGAUUCAGUAUGAUGAAGAAUAACGACCAUAAACUUAUCCAAUAAGAAGCUUUGUAUGUUCAGUCAUGCCUGUGCCUAAGUUUAUUUAAAUAAUGAAACCAAACCAGUUGGGUUAUGUGUGCUACUUCUAGAAUAUAUUGGCUCAUGUUACUGGAGCUACUAUUAAUUUCUUAAUUAACCAACAAUCAGAUUGCUCAGGCCCUGCUAUUUCCAUUUACUUACCUUUUCUAUGUAUUUUACAGCCUUUGGACCCGGAAGGUGUGCAAUAAACAGUGGGGGUUGCUGGUCAGAAACUAAAUACGGACAAACGCUUUCAGCUUGCUCAGUUCAGUGAUGUCCUUUUUUUUUUUUUCCAAUUGUACUACAUCUUGACAUUGUAUUCAGCUAAAAUUUUAUAUCUUGUAUAGGAUUCCGAUAUAACAGGCUGUCGAUGCCCACAUGGUUUUCAGGGGGAUGGCCAUAAAUGUGAAGGUACUUCGUGCUCUUUCUUUUGGUCAUCUCCAGACCUUACUAUAGGGUUUGACAUAUAUAACUUAUAUUUUUCUUUUGGACAUGGACCAGAUAUUAAUGAAUGCUCAGAAGGUCUUGCUUGUCAAUGUGAGGGCUGUUCCUGCAAGAAUACGUGGGGUGGAUAUGGCUGCAAGUGCAAGGGGGAGAAACUUUAUAUAAUGGAGCAAGACACAUGUAUUGGUAAUAAUAAACUCUCUAUAUAAAGCAUCUACUACAGUAACUAAAAUUAUAAUAUAUUUUAAACAUUAUGCAGAGAUGGCAUCUUAGUAGGACUUCCAGUAGAUUUAUCUGUUAUUUAUGUACUAGGUUGUGUUUUGAAUUUAAGGGCUGAAGUUAAUGUUGGUUAAGGAAAGCUGCUUCGUCAAAAUUUAGGUGUUAAGUUAUAAUUUACUAUUUUUCAUUAAAAUGUGACUUCAUCACUAUUCUACUUCGAAGCAUUCAUACAACAGCUUUAUGCGUUCAAGCUCCUGCAUGUUGUUGGAACAUCUAGGGUCGAUGAAUUACAUUUUAGUAGAUCUAAUGAGAUAAAUUUUUGUUUCUUUAUUUUUCUGCCUUCCUACUACAGAAAGAAAUUCUACAAAAUUUGGAUGGUUCCUAGCCUUGUUGAUCUUAGGGGCAGUUGUUUCUGCUGCUUUUGCUGGCUAUAUCUUCUACAAAUAUAGGUUCCGGGUAAGCAGAAUAAUUUUCACCAAAUAUAUAUUUUCUUACAUGCUGGUACCAGGAUCACUACUCACUUAACUAUAUAUUUCUUUCUGUAGUCUUAUAUGGACUCCGAGGUAAUGGCCAUUAUGUCUCAGUACAUGCCACUUGACAGUCAGCAUCAUAACCAAGUCACUCAACAUGAAAAUGGGUCCCUACGACAAGGCAGCUCCGGCGUAUAAUAAAGGUACUUAUGUCAUGGACUGUGCCUUCCUAUGUGACCUUUUGUAUCAUUUCUUUUAUUGUUUUCUACCCACUUUUUGUUGACAAAAACCAUUUACCAUGCAGAAGCUGCAGAAUUACAUACAUCUUAUAAGCCAUUGGUGGUCAAUAAUGGCGAUAUUGUUAGAGACAUUUAGACGAUUUUCACACAACUCAGCAUACGGUGCACAGUUGAGAUGAUUCUGAAAUUUGAAAUAUCCGGGAUACUUGUUUACUGAACCCUUCCCUCCUCUUUUCUUGUUUUGAUGUAUAUACUUUGUUGAGAUGUAGAUGGAGGACCAUAGUUACUGUUACACUUAUAUAGUUGAUGUAUAUAUUUAUAAAAGAAAUAUUAGAAUGGAAUAAAUAAGUUGAUGGUUUCCACAAGCUGUCUCUUUCUUAUUUCAAAGGUCUUGAUAAAGUGAAAGCCUAAAGACGAUAUAAAGAAUGCAGUAUGAGAAUAACUUCACAGACACUGAAGAGUAUAGGAGUAGGGGAUUAGUUUUUUCCUUGAAUUAUUCUUAUUAUUUGAUUAUUUAUGAUUAUACAGAGAUUAUUCAUCCCAUGUUAUGUCAUACAAUAUGCACCUGUUGCUGAUCAUUUAAAAUUUAGUUCACAUGAUGUGCAAGAGCCCAACAUUGAACUCUUUCAACGGAGUGCUAGCCAGAAAACGUACGAAUGAUGCUAACAUAUGUCUCGAGGGGAAGAAAAAAAAAUGUUGGAUGUGAAAAAUUCCUGGAAUGAGACAAUUUUCCACUGUAUGAUAUUACAUCCUUUGUAUAUAUAUUAAAAUUUUAGCGUUAAGCAUAGGCACGCGAAUGAGGACGUGGACUCAAGAAAAAAGUGAAGCAGAAGUUAGAAUUAAGUUAAAAUUUAUAAGCGAUUAAAAUGUUUGAAAAAUAAGUGGAAACAAUAAAACAAAAGUUAGCAUUCCUAAUUUUUUAGGGCAAAUUAAUUUAUAGGUCCUUGAAUUAUUGACGUUUUAUUGUCUAGGUCCCUGAACUAAAGAUUCCGUAUUUCAGGUCACUUAACUUUUCUAUUUUCUGAUCUAAGUCCUUCCGUCAAAAAGAUUCUAACGGUGUUAACUAGGGUUCUUGAGUUUCAUACAGAUCAAAGCAAUUUUGAAGGUGUUAGUGAUAUCCAAACUCAAAGUUCAAAUAGUCAAAUUGAAGUUUGAAUCACUAGCGACACUCAUAUGACAACAAUUUUCACAAAUUAGAUUUAAUUUUAAAAAGCCCUAAAUUUGACCAUAAAUUUAGGGUUCUUUAUCGAAUUUAGUGACCUGAAUUUAUAAAAUUUUAAAUUGAACAUAAUUUUUGAAAAUUGGUGUCAUAUGAGUGUCGCCAGCGACUCAAGCUUCAAUUUGACUACUUGAACUUUGAAUUUGGAUAUCACUAACACCUUCAAAAUUGCUUUGAUCUGUAUGAAACUCAAGAACCCUAGUUAACACUGUUAGAAUCUUUUUGACAGAAGGACUUAGAUCAGAAUACAAAAAAGUUAAGUGACCUGAAAUACGGAAUCUUUAGUUCAGGGACCUAGACAAUAAAACGUCAAUAGUUCAGGGACCUGCAAUUUAAUUUUCCCAAUUUUUUAUAAGUACUUCUUGAUUUUUUACACAAACGGUACAAAUAAGUGCUUUUAACUUAUAAUUCCUAAGUCCGGCUUAAAAGAGCGAGCCAACCACCCACUAAGUGAAUUUAGAAGAAUUUGCACUUGAAAUAAAGCUGAAGUUGGUAGCGAUACACUCAUUCACCCCUUCUUUUACGUCAACAGUGAACACCCAUUUCUCCCUCCUAACAUUCUUCCCUGUAUCUAUCUCUGUAUCUCUAUAUUCCAAAACAAGUCUCCUCUUGACUUCUCUCUCUCUCUCUCGACUAUAUGUUUCUCUUCUUUAUCUCUCCCAGCUCACAAACUCCACACCCCCAUCUUCUCUUCUCACACAACCAUGUCAAGAAGCUUGCUGGGUGUUCUUUUUUGUGUCAUUUUCGUGAGUGUAAAUGGGAGAUUUGUGGUGGAGAAAGAGAGCAUAAGAGUGCUCUCGCCUUAUAAGCUAAGGUCGAAGCAUGAUGCUGCUAUUGGUAACUUCGGAGUCCCUAAAUAUGGAGGUUCUAUGGUGGGGUCCAUGGUGUAUUCUCAUCAGAAUUCUUAUGCGUGUAAGCCUUUUGAUGAUGAAAAAAAGCAGCCCUUUAAGACCCACAUUCUUCUUGUUGAUCGUGGAGGUAACUGUGUGUGUUAUUUUUUUCUUUUUUAUGUUGUCACAAAAUUUUAGUGCCUUUUAAAAUUUAUUUGAGACCUUGUACUUGCAACUAAAAUGUUAUGUUUAUUAAGGUGCGUUACUUAUUUGUUUUAUUUGGAAUGUGGAAUUUUAUGAACACUGGCUAAUCCUAGUAUGCAUGCAUUUGGUAAGAGUGAAUAAAUAGGGCUUUUUUAGGAGCCAAAAUUUUAAUGCUUUUGAUUCUUUUAAUUGGUACAUGGAUAGGUAUACAAGCACUUAGGCAUCUCCAACCAUCACUCUAAAUUUUAUAUUGCUUCACAUUUAAUUUUAUAAAUAGAGUAAUCCAUCUCUAAUCAUCCAUUACUCUAUCUUUAUAUAUAAAGUCAUGCACUAUCCUACUCUAUAUAUGAAGUUGAACUUGAAGAUAAAGCACAAAUUACUUUAUUUAUAAAAUGAAGUAAUGGUUGGAAAUGGAAUAAAGAUAUAAAGUGAAAAAGGUGAAAAUGAAGAUGAAGUUGCUUUAUUUAUAAAAUUAUGAUUGGAGAUGGUCUUAAUCGAAGUAAAUGUAAGAUUUUAAAGUCUCCUUAUUUGUAUAUCCUCUGUUUGUACUCUGUACCAGUGUUACGAUUUCUCCAUUUGAGUCCAUGAGAACUAAUUUUUGCUUUCAUGCAUCUUCUACGAAUUUACUACUCUGUAUAGCAAUGCUAUAACAGAGUGUUCCUGAAUCCUGAAUGCUCAUUUUGGCGCUUCUGUGUCCUUAAGUCUCCUUUCCACCAUCAUACGGAGUAACCACUCCUGACCUCCUGUCAUUUCUUGCCGAUUCUAUAUUAAAUUGUUCUUGAGGGAGGGAGAGUGUGUCAGUGAAGUUACUAGAACAUUUGAACCAGAGAUUUUGUAGCCAGGUAAAAUUGUUGGACACAUUACUCAUGAGUCAUGAUUAUUAAUGUAAGAAAAACUUAAUACACAGAAACACUCUAUGGCUGUACUUAAGAUUUAGUAAGUUGGCUUAUUAAUUGAAAGAGCAUGCUGACUACAUGAUCUCAUCUACUUUUGUACUGGUCUCUGUCUAUUAGGAUAGCUCGUCUUCAACGUGAACAUUCUUAUUGAUAGUUUAAGAGUCUUUAUUUUUGACUUUUUGUUUACCCUAUGGCAAUCAACUGUUCCUCGGUUUAACUAAUAUGAUUCCUCUUUAAUUGUGUCUAUACUAAUUUUAAUGUGUAUGAUCAAGUUAAGUCGAUUUUUCAUAUUUGACCAUAUAAUGCUUAUCAUCUCUUAAAUGCCUGGACAAGAUUUAUUUAAAUGUAGAAGAAAAUAUGGAACAUAGGUACUUUCUAAUUUUUAAAUUUGUUUCAUUUUUUUCCCAGAGUGCUUCUUUGCUUUGAAGGUUUGGAAUGCGCAACAAGCAGGUGCUGCAGCUGUUUUGGUGACUGACGACAGAGAUGAGCCUCUCAUAACUAUGGAGUCUCCCGGAGAAAAUGCUGAUGCAGAUGGCUACAUUGACAAGAUUGGAAUUCCAUCAGCUUUAAUUGAUCGAUCGUUUGGUGAGACUUUGAAAGCUGCUGUACAGAAAGCUGAAGAAGAUGUGGUAAUUAAAUUGGACUGGAGAGAGUCAAUGCCCAACCCGGAUCAGAGGGUUGAGUAUGAGUUUUGGACUAACAGCAAUGAUGAUUGUGGAAUUCGCUGUGAUGAGCAAAUGAAUUUUUUCAAGGACUUCAAAGGACAUGCACAGAUUCUUGAAAAGGGUGGUUACACCAUGUUUACACCACACUAUAUAACAUGGUUUUGUCCUGCGCCUUUGGUUCUGAGCGACCAGUGCAAGUCUCAGUGCAUAAACCAUGGGAGAUAUUGUGCACCUGAUCCAGAAAAGAAUUUUGGGAUGGGGUAUCAAGGAAAAGAUGUGGUAUUCGAGAAGUUGAGACAGCUUUGUGUGCACAGGGUUGCUAAGGAGAGCAACCGAUCUUGGGUUUGGUGGGAUUUUGUGAC